rnacentral:rRNA from 1 species
CACGUAGGGCGCGAGCGUUGUCCGGAAUUAUUGGGCGUAAAGAGCUCGUAGGCGGCCUGUUGCGUCCGCUGUGAAAGCCCGGGGGUUAACCCCGGGUCUGCAGUGGAUACGGGAAGGCUAGAGGUAGGUAGGGGAGAAUGGAAUUCCCGGUGUAGCGGUGAAAUGCGUAGAGAUGUGGAGGAACACCAGUGGCGAAGGCGACUCUUUGGCCUGUAACUGACGCUGAGGCGCGAAAGCGUGGGGAGCAAACAGG